AGAAUGGCUUAAACACGAGGAUGGCUUAUGACUACAAAAGCUGCAUGGGGUUGAAAAUUAAGCCACGUCAAGGAGAUGGGCUACUGUUUUAUUCACUGUUUCCAAAUGGAACUAUUGACAAGACAUCUCUCCAUGGAAGCUGCCCUGUGAUCAAAGGGGGAAAAUGGGUGGCUACAAAAUGGAUCAGGGAUCAAGUACUUGACGACUGAUUCAUGCAAUUCACAAAAGGACACCGUGAUUAACUUCUGUUCCCAUAAUUCCCCAGAAAUUUUAGGAAACGUCUUUUAGAGACCACCCCUUUCGCUUUUUUUUUUUUUUUUUUUUUUGGGGUGGGAAAAACAGGUCAUUGAACUUGGAUGAGGAUACCAUAUUUGCUUUGUGAAAAGCUCUAAAAAUUAUUAUUGUUUUUGUCCA